GAGUUUGAUCCUGGCUCAGGACGAACGCUGGCGGCGCGCCUAACACAUGCAAGUCGAGCGAUGAAAGUGGAACUGAUUCCUUCGGGAUGACGAUUCACUGGAUUAGCGGCGAACGGGUGAGUAACGCGUGAGAAACCUACCUAUCACAAGGGGAUAGCCUCGGGAAACUGGGAUUAAUACCCUAUGAGACUCCAGUGUCGAGUGACACAGAAGUUAAAGUGAUUCAGCGGUGAUAGAUGGUCUCGCGUCUGAUUAGCUAGUUGGUAAGGUAACGGCUUACCAAGGCAACGAUCAGUAACCGGCCUGAGAGGGUGAACGGUCACAUUGGAACUGAGACACGGUCCAAACUCCUACGGGAGGCAGCAGUGGGGAAUCUUGCACAAUGGAGGCAACUCUGAUGCAGCGACGCCGCGUGAGCGAUGAAGGCUUUCGAGUCGUAAAGCUCUGUCCUAUGGGAAGAUAAUGACGGUACCAUAGGAGGAAGCCCCGGCUAACUACGUGCCAGCAGCCGCGGUAAUACGUAGGGGGCGAGCGUUGUCCGGAAUUACUGGGCGUAAAGGGUUCGCAGGCGGUUUGGCAAGUCUGGUGUAAAAGGCAAGGGCUCAACCCUUGUAAGCGUCGGAAACUGUCAAACUUGAGUAAAGGAGAGGUAAGUGGAAUUCCUAGUGUAGCGGUGGAAUGCGUAGAUAUUAGGAGGAAUACCAGUGGCGAAGGCGACUUACUGGACUUUAACUGACGCUGAGGAACGAAAGCGUGGGGAGCANACAGGAUUAGAUACCCUGGUAGUCCACGCUGUAAACGAUGAGUGCUAGGUGUCGGGAGUCAAAUCUCGGUGCCGGCGUUAACACAAUAAGCACUCCGCCUGGGGAGUACGUGCGCAAGCAUGAAACUCAAAGGAAUUGACGGGGACCCGCACAAGCAGCGGAGCAUGUGGUUUAAUUCGAAGCAACGCGAAGAACCUUACCAGGGCUUGACAUGAUACUGACCGGUAUAGAGAUAUACCUUUUCUUCGGAACGGUAUUACAGGUGGUGCAUGGUUGUCGUCAGCUCGUGUCGUGAGAUGUUGGGUUAAGUCCCGCAACGAGCGCAACCCUUAUUUUCAGUUGCCAGCACGUAAUGGUGGGAACUCUGGAGAGACUGCCGAUGAUAAAUCGGAGGAAGGUGGGGAUGACGUCAAAUCAUCAUGCCCUUUAUGUCCUGGGCUACACACGUGCUACAAUGGUCGGUACAGAGGGCAGCAAGACAGCAAUGUUUAGCGAAUCUCAAAAAGCCGAUCCCAGUUCGGAUUGUAGGCUGCAACUCGCCUACAUGAAGUUGGAGUUGCUAGUAAUCGCAGAUCAGAAUGCUGCGGUGAAUGCGUUCCCGNGGUCUUGUACACACCGCCCGUC
rnacentral:rRNA from 1 species